AUGCCAAAGAGAAGCCAUGAAGUGCAUCUUUUAAAUUAAAAGGUGAAAGUUCUCAACUGAAUUAAGGAAAGAAAAAAAUCAUAUGCUGAGGUUGCUAAGAUCUAUGGCAAGAAUGAAUCUUCUAUCUGUGAAACUGUGAAGAAGGAAAAUGAAAUUUAUGCUAGUUCUGCUGCAUAUAUAGGGUUCAGUAUUAUCUGCAGUUUCAGCCUACCUAUUCUCCCAGAGGGCAUGCAUUCUAUGGAGACAGAGCUGAAUGUGUGCCAUCAGAAGACCAAAAUCAAGCGACAUUUUAAAAAGAAAACAGACUCUUCUGGGAAAAAUGGUGACUCCACAAAGUAAGAAGCCACCAAGACUUGUAGGACAUUCCUUCAUCUUCUCCUGGAUGGGGCAACCCAGCCAUGGAUAUAUGCCUCCAAUCAGCAUAAAUGCCCAUUGCUUGAUAAAGUCAACACACGUGUAAGAUGACAUAUUGCAGGUAUCUGUCACAUCAAGCAAGGUUUGAAGAAGAAACAACUGGAGAAUUUUACUUAUGUGGAUGAAAAAGCAAACAGAAGUUAGUCCAGCAUGGAAGUCACAUGCUUUGGGAUUGUAGCAUUGUGUUCUCCUGUAGGAGGUGAUCCAUUGUCAUUUAUCGGAAUCCAUCUUCACUCAAAAGGAGCAGGUUGUAUUUUGAGUCCCUUCUCUUAAUGUCUUUUAGCAACAACAAGGGAGGAACACUUAUUCCCUACUCUUGAAGUUCCAGUCAUGAGAAUAGAGUCUCCCGAAGUACUGCUGGAUUCUUGUCCAACCGCUUUCCCUGCCUACAGAGGUGGGGACAGUGACUUGGCUGCUAAGUGGAAGCAGUAGGUCCACAUUUCUGAAGGAGGGAAGCUAAUCUAUCAAAGGACCUUGGGGGCCGGGUGCAGUGGCUCACACCUGUAACCCUAGCACUUUGGGAGGCCAAAGUGGGUGGAUCGCUUGAGCUCAGGAAUUUGAGACCAGCUUGCACAACAUAGCGAAAACCCAUAUCUAACAAAAAUACAAAAAUUAGCCAGGCAUAGUGGCAUGUGUCUGUGAUCCCACCUACUCAGGAGGCUGAGAUGGCAGGAUCGCUUGAGCCUGGGAGGCGGAGGUUGCAGUGAGCUGGGACAGUGCCUCUGCACUCCAGCCUGGGUGACAGAGUAAGACUCCAUCUCAAAAAAAAAAAAAAAAAACGAAAACAAAAAUAAAAAAGAACCUGGGGAGGGAGGAGGAAUUCGAUUUGGAAUGAAUUAAUUCAGUUCUUCCUACCUUCCCUCUCCACCUAGCAUAGUGGAAAACAGUAGCCUGGGUAGGUGUGACUCCUGUGCAAACCCAAACUUUCCCUCAAGUGGGCUCUCCCAUAGUCUGGACUGGACAGAAGGGAGUUUGCAAGCUCACUUUGGCUCUUAGAAUGAGCUACGUCUUCUGACCCAGCCUUUUUAGAAAUAAGAAUGGCAUUUGAUUCAUCUGCUUCAUCUUCAUCCUUAUCAUCUUCCUCUGCUGACUGUGUUGUUUUAUUUUUCAAUUGAUUUCAAAAGUGGGCCAAAAAAAGUGCUAUUAAUUGUGUCUCUUCAAAACCCUAAUACCCACCAGAAUAAGAAUGGUUCUCUCCAUGAGGCUGUAAGCCACAGACAGAAACUGGGUCAUCUCUUUCAGUGCAAAUGUUCAAGAAUUGGUUGGUUAGACGGAAUAAUGUCAGGUCAGACCUGUGACUUGAGUCCCUUCAAAGUCUUCCCAAGAUCCUAAGUGACUUGGCCCUGCAAGCUUGAGCCUCAUCUCUCACCAAUGUAUUCCUUCUCACCGUGCUCCAGCUGUGCUGGCUCUUCUUUCAAUGUUUUGGAUGAACCAUCCUUUCCUCUGACUCAAGGCCUUUGCAAAUGCUGUUCUCUAUGCUUAGAAAUCUUAUCCCUCACUGCCCAUCCCUUUACCUUUUUAAUUCUUUUAUAUUUCUGUGCAAAAUCACUUUCUUAGGGAUGUCUUCCCUGUAUCCCAGACAAGGUAUGUUC
rnacentral:lncRNA from 1 species